GUAGGUGAACCUGCGGAAGGAUCAUUGGUAUGUGAGUGGGGGAAUGAGGGGAGAGUUGGAAUGAGAGAAACAAAACUUACAUAAAUAUACAAAUUCAUACAACUGCUGACAAUGGAUCUCUGGGCUCUU
rnacentral:misc_RNA from 1 species